AACGGCCGUACCAUGCUGAAUUAACCGGUUCUCGUUAGAUCACCGAAGUCAAGCAUCAUUGGGCGCGGUCAGUGCUUGGGUGGGUGACCACCUGGGAACACUGCGUGCCGU
rnacentral:rRNA from 1 species